GCUGGCGGCAGGCCUAACACAUGCAAGUCGAACGGAGUUAUAUUGUAGCUUGCUAUGGUAUAACUUGGUGGCAAACGGGUGAGUAAUGUAUAGGAAUCUACCUAGUAGUACGGAAUAAUUGUUGGAAACGGCAACUAAUACCGUAUACGCCCUACGGGGGAAAAAUUUAUUGCUAUUAGAUGAGCCUAUAUUAGAUUAGCUAGUUGGUGGAGUAAUAGCCUACCAAGGCAAUGAUCUAUAGCUGAUCUGAGAGGAUGAUCAGCCACACUGGAACUGAGAUACGGUCCAGACUCCUACGGGAGGCAGCAGUGGGGAAUAUUGGACAAUGGGCGAAAGCCUGAUCCAGCCAUGCCGCAUGAGUGAAGAAGGCCUUUGGGUUGUAAAGCUCUUUUAGUGAGGAAGAUAAUGACGGUACUCACAGAAGAAGUCCUGGCUAACUCCGUGCCAGCAGCCGCGGUAAUACGGAGAGGGCUAGCGUUAUUCGGAAUUAUUGGGCGUAAAGGGCGCGUAGGCGGAUUAGUAAGUUAAAAGUGAAAUCCCAAGGCUCAACCUUGGAAUUGCUUUUAAAACUGCUAAUCUAGAGAUUGAAAGAGGAUAGAGGAAUUCCUAGUGUAGAGGUGAAAUUCGUAAAUAUUAGGAGGAACACCAGUGGCGAAGGCGUCUAUCUGGUUCAAAUCUGACGCUGAAGCGCGAAGGCGUGGGGAGCCAACAGGAUUAAAUUCCCUGGUAGUCCACGCUGUUAACGAUGAAUGUUAAAUAUGGGAAAGUUUUACUUU
rnacentral:rRNA from 1 species